rnacentral:rRNA from 1 species
UACGAAGGGGGCUAGCGUUGCUCGGAAUUACUGGGCGUAAAGCGCGCGCAGGCGGUCCUUUAAGUCUGAUGUGAAAGCCCUCGGCUCAACCGAGGAGGGUCAUUGGAAACUGGAGGACUUGAGUGCAGAAGAGGAAAGUGGAAUUCCAAGUGUAGCGGUGAAAUGCGUAGAGAUUUGGAGGAACACCAGUGGCGAAGGCGACUUUCUGGUCUGUAACUGACGCUGAGGCGCGAAAGCGUGGGGAGCAAACAGG